rnacentral:rRNA from 1 species
UACGUAGGGUGCAAGCGUUAAUCGGAAUUACUGGGCGUAAAGCGUGCGCAGGCGGGUUAUGUAAGACAGGUGUGAAAUCCCAGGGCUUAACCUUGGAACUGCAUUUGUGACUGCAUAGCUAGAGUACGGUAGAGGGGGAUGGAAUUCCGCGUGUAGCAGUGAAAUGCGUAGAUAUGCGGAGGAACACCGAUGGCGAAGGACAAUCC